rnacentral:rRNA from 1 species
UACGGAGGGCGCAAGCGUUGUUCGGAAUCAUUGGGCGUAAAGCGCGUGUAGGCGGCUUGGCAAGUCGGGUGUGAAAUCCCGGGGCUCAACUCCGGAACUGCAUUCGAUACUGCCUCGCUAGAGUCCCGGAGAGGAGGGCGGAAUUCCCGGUGUAGAGGUGAAAUUCGUAGAUAUCGGGAGGAACACCAGUGGCGAAGGCGGCCCUCUGGACGGUGACUGACGCUGAGAUGCGAAAGCGUGGGGAGCAAACAGG